rnacentral:rRNA from 1 species
GGUUAAGCGACUAAGCGUACACGGUGGAUGCCCUGGCAGUCAGAGGCGAUGAAGGACGUGCUAAUCUGCGAUAAGCGUCGGUAAGGUGAUAUGAACCGUUAUAACCGGCGAUUUCCGAAUGGGGAAACCCAGUGUGUUUCGACACACUAUCAUUAACUGAAUCCAUAGGUUAAUGAGGCGAACCGGGGGAACUGAAACAUCUAAGUACCCCGAGGAAAAGAAAUCAACUGAGAUUCCCCCAGUAGCGGCGAGCGAACGGGGAGGAGCCCAGAGCCUGAAUCAGUGUGUGUGUUAGUGGAAGCGUCUGGAAAGGCGCGCGAUACAGGGUGACAGCCCCGUACACAAAAAUGCACAUAUUGUGAGCUCGAUGAGUAGGGCGGGACACGUGGUAUCCUGUCUGAAUAUGGGGGGACCAUCCUCCAAGGCUAAAUACUCCUGACUGACCGAUAGUGAACCAGUACCGUGAGGGAAAGGCGAAAAGAACCCCGGCGAGGGGAGUGAAAAAGAACCUGAAACCGUGUACGUACAAGCAGUGGGAGCACAGAGCAAUCUGUGUGACUGCGUACCUUUUGUAUAAUGGGUCAGCGACUUAUAUUCUGUAGCAAGGUUAACCGAAUAGGGGAGCCGAAGGGAAACCGAGUCUUAACUGGGCGUUAAGUUGCAGGGUAUAGACCCGAAACCCGGUGAUCUAGCCAUGGGCAGGUUGAAGGUUGGGUAACACUAACUGGAGGACCGAACCGACUAAUGUUGAAAAAUUAGCGGAUGACUUGUGGCUGGGGGUGAAAGGCCAAUCAAACCGGGAGAUAGCUGGUUCUCCCCGAAAGCUAUUUAGGUAGCGCCUCGUGAACUCAUCUCCGGGGGUAGAGCACUGUUUCGGCAAGGGGGUCAUCCCGACUUACCAACCCGAUGCAAACUGCGAAUACCGGAGAAUGUUAUCACGGGAGACACACGGCGGGUGCUAACGUCCGUCGUGAAGAGGGAAACAACCCAGACCGCCAGCUAAGGUCCCAAAGUCAUGGUUAAGUGGGAAACGAUGUGGGAAGGCCCAGACAGCCAGGAUGUUGGCUUAGAAGCAGCCAUCAUUUAAAGAAAGCGUAAUAGCUCACUGGUCGAGUCGGCCUGCGCGGAAGAUGUAACGGGGCUAAACCAUGCACCGAAGCUGCGGCAGCGACGCUUAUGCGUUGUUGGGUAGGGGAGCGUUCUGUAAGCCUGCGAAGGUGUGCUGUGAGGCAUGCUGGAGGUAUCAGAAGUGCGAAUGCUGACAUAAGUAACGAUAAAGCGGGUGAAAAGCCCGCUCGCCGGAAGACCAAGGGUUCCUGUCCAACGUUAAUCGGGGCAGGGUGAGUCGACCCCUAAGGCGAGGCCGAAAGGCGUAGUCGAUGGGAAACAGGUUAAUAUUCCUGUACUUGGUGUUACUGCGAAGGGGGGACGGAGAAGGCUAUGUUGGCCGGGCGACGGUUGUCCCGGUUUAAGCGUGUAGGCUGGUUUUCCAGGCAAAUCCGGAAAAUCAAGGCUGAGGCGUGAUGACGAGGCACUACGGUGCUGAAGCAACAAAUGCCCUGCUUCCAGGAAAAGCCUCUAAGCAUCAGGUAACAUCAAAUCGUACCCCAAACCGACACAGGUGGUCAGGUAGAGAAUACCAAGGCGCUUGAGAGAACUCGGGUGAAGGAACUAGGCAAAAUGGUGCCGUAACUUCGGGAGAAGGCACGCUGAUAUGUAGGUGAAGUCCCUCGCGGAUGGAGCUGAAAUCAGUCGAAGAUACCAGCUGGCUGCAACUGUUUAUUAAAAACACAGCACUGUGCAAACACGAAAGUGGACGUAUACGGUGUGACGCCUGCCCGGUGCCGGAAGGUUAAUUGAUGGGGUCAGCGCAAGCGAAGCUCUUGAUCGAAGCCCCGGUAAACGGCGGCCGUAACUAUAACGGUCCUAAGGUAGCGAAAUUCCUUGUCGGGUAAGUUCCGACCUGCACGAAUGGCGUAAUGAUGGCCAGGCUGUCUCCACCCGAGACUCAGUGAAAUUGAACUCGCUGUGAAGAUGCAGUGUACCCGCGGCAAGACGGAAAGACCCCGUGAACCUUUACUAUAGCUUGACACUGAACAUUGAGCCUUGAUGUGUAGGAUAGGUGGGAGGCUUAGAAGUGUGGACGCCAGUCUGCAUGGAGCCGACCUUGAAAUACCACCCUUUAAUGUUUGAUGUUCUAACGUUGACCCGUAAUCCGGGUUGCGGACAGUGUCUGGUGGGUAGUUUGACUGGGGCGGUCUCCUCCUAAAGAGUAACGGAGGAGCACGAAGGUUGGCUAAUCCUGGUCGGACAUCAGGAGGUUAGUGCAAUGGCAUAAGCCAGCUUGACUGCGAGCGUGACGGCGCGAGCAGGUGCGAAAGCAGGUCAUAGUGAUCCGGUGGUUCUGAAUGGAAGGGCCAUCGCUCAACGGAUAAAAGGUACUCCGGGGAUAACAGGCUGAUACCGCCCAAGAGUUCAUAUCGACGGCGGUGUUUGGCACCUCGAUGUCGGCUCAUCACAUCCUGGGGCUGAAGUAGGUCCCAAGGGUAUGGCUGUUCGCCAUUUAAAGUGGUACGCGAGCUGGGUUUAGAACGUCGUGAGACAGUUCGGUCCCUAUCUGCCGUGGGCGCUGGAGAAUUGAGGGGGGCUGCUCCUAGUACGAGAGGACCGGAGUGGACGCAUCACUGGUGUUCGGGUUGUCAUGCCAAUGGCACUGCCCGGUAGCUAAAUGCGGAAGAGAUAAGUGCUGAAAGCAUCUAAGCACGAAACUUGCCCCGAGAUGAGUUCUCCCUGACUCCUUGAGAGUCCUGAAGGAACGUUGAAGACGACGACGUUGAUAGGCUGGGUGUGUAAGCGCAGCGAUGCGUUGAGCUAACCGGUACUAAUGAACCGUGAGGCUUAACCUU